ensembl:miRNA mdo-mir-12358 mdo-mir-12358
UACCGAUGUGCUCUCAGAUCUAGUAUGUCAUGUUUUAAAGAUCUAUGAUUUCAUCGGUGUGAG